rnacentral:rRNA from 1 species
GUAAGGAAUAUUGGACAAUGGACGCAAGUCUGAUCCAGCCAUGCCGCGUGAAGGAUUAAGGUCCUCUGGAUUGUAAACUUCUUUUAUAAGGGACGAAAAAAGGCUUUUCUAAGUCGUCUGACGGUACCUUAUGAAUAAGCACCGGCUAACUCCGUGCCAGCAGCCGCGGUAAUACGGAGGGUGCAAGCGUUAUCCGGAUUCACUGGGUUUAAAGGGUGCGUAGGCGGGCAGGUAAGUCAGUGGUGAAAUCCUAGAGCUUAACUCUAGAACUGCCAUUGAUACUAUCUGUCUUGUAUAUUGUGGAGGUAAGCGGAAUAUGUCAUGUAGCGGUGAAAUGCUUAGAUAUGACAUAGAACACCUAUUGCGAAGGCAGCUUACUACGCAUAUAUUGACGCUGAGGCACGAAAGCGUGGGGAUCAAACAGGAUUAGAAACCCCAGUAGUCC